UUGAUUUUAACACACCGUUACUAAUCUAGACAUAAUAAGUAUAGACAUAAUAUACGUUUGGUUACUAACGGUAAUUUAUUUGACACUUCCGGCCGUCACCUCCAACCGUUUUUAAAACUUCUAUACAAGCUAACUAGGCUAGUUAACUUAGAGCUAACGUUGCUAACGAGCAACUAACUUUUUUGUCUUAAACACUGGCGCAAAUUGUACACCCGACUGCUGGAAAAACUCUCAAUUUCCAUUGUGUUUUUAAAAACAAUCUACCGAAAGACAUCAGAAUUCUCUCCAGUCAUUCCUAAGUUGGACAGCCUGAGGUCUGAAGUCCCUCUUAUCAGCACUCUCCACAAAUCAGGUUUUGAGAGCAUCUGCGGGGAUCUCUUUUGUACUCGGUGAAGACAGAGCUGCGAUGAAACUGUGUGGUGAGGACACACUGCAGAGAUGACAGAAGGGAAGUCAAAAUACCUCCUGAUGGGUGCUGACAUACUGUGCUGGUGAUAUCACUUGAAGCCAAAUUAAUGAAACCAUGGUAGUGAUACAACGCCUCCUCUGCUGAUGGACAUACACGACCCCCCUGGCCCACCAUGAGUCCACUAAACUGCCCGCUCUUCAUCCCAUCCUGCCCUGAACCCAGACAUUCCUCAAACACCUCCCACCUGGCCCCCUGUACUGAUAUUGAACUUUUCUGCUGAGCUCAUUCCAUCUGACCUUCAGUGGACUUCACAUAGUCAGAACUGACAUUUGACCAACUGCAGCUCCUGUCACACCCUCAGCAACCUGCCGGGAUGGAUCUCUCUUUGAAGCAGCUCCUGUGGUUUGUUACAUUUCUUUCACAAAAGUCACACAGUGCUGAAUUUAAGAUCUAAUGUGUGCCUAUCAAGCACAUUGGGAUAUUUUUGUAGAAUCUGCAGAUGUGGUGUAGGUGCUACAUGGUUCUAUUUCUUUUCAUUUAAUUUUCAACAUUAAAACUCCAAUGAGAAGUUUAUCGCAGGUUACAUAACAGACUGGAAUUAAGAUUGAUGUUGUUUUAUUCAGUUUGUACUGCUACUGCUACGGGGUAGGCGUCACAGUGUUUGAUAGGCUUUGUUUACAUCAACCACAACAAAACUUCUGAGUGGUGAUACACAGGACUUCCCACAGAACUGACUGGACUCCUGAAAAACCCAGAGAACGGCGCUCUCCAGUGUCAAUUUAUUAAUGAAGUCCAUGCAUGUAUGUUGAAUCAGUAGUAUUGGUGCUAGCGUCCUGGAUAACAGUUACUUUAUUUUCAAGCUGAAUAGUGUGAACAGCUAUUACUGGGUCCUGAUGUUGAAUUUAUUUAUUUGUGAACCUUUUUAACCCCUUUUCAUUACAAUUCCUGCCACAUUUGUUUUCACAUUAAACCAACUUUGCUAUUUUAUUUGGCCAGAAUUGAUUAUCUUUAGCGGCCCAUUUUUGCCCCUUUGGCCCCCUUUAACCCAUUUUGUAUUUUGUAUUUUUGUAUUUUAUUUUAUUUGAAAUAACAGGGUCAGUACAUAUUAUUAAACACUUAUGUGUAAAUAUGUAGGAUUAUAGCCAAUGGCUAAUUUCUGUCCUUUGACCCUGGGCAGGUUGAUGUAAACAUUGUACAGUCAAUAAAACAGAGGUACAACAGCAAUAAAAAGUAGAGAAUAAAAGAAAGCAUAUAAGAAUGAAAAGUACAGUAAACAACCUAGACAGACAACAAACUCAUGACAGAUCAGAAAAAAAAGAAAAGAAAACCUUGGGGAUUUGGCUUGUUAAGUUAAAGUGCCUGUGUGCUAAAGUGCUUUAUGUGCUAAAGUGCUUUAUUUGUUAAAAUGCAUAAGUGCUAGAGUUUUUAAGUGCUGUUGUAUAUUGCAUGUUGCCCUAAUGCACUUAAUUUGCACACACAGACGUGUGUGUGCAGGUGUUAAUGCACUGGUUAGCAUACAUAGGUUUAAUUAUGUAUGCACUAUAUCACAAAAUUUGCAUACAUACAUUUAUGUAAGCAUAUAAAGUCACUAGAAUGGCUAGUCACAAACAAAAUUCCCAACAACCCAUUACAUAAAAAACUAGCACCAGUUACAUCCAGUACACUUGACAAUACACAUGAUAUGGUAAAUCCAUUCAUUCAUUGUGACUGCAGCUUUGAUUCUCCAGUAACUACAUUUUUAAGUGCUUAGUAAAAGAGGUAAGAUUGAGAUGCUCGAUAAGUAAAAACUGACUGCCCAAAGACACUUUUUCUAAAUGGAACCAGACGGUCUCCUCUAGACCCUGCUCUGGUUGACCCAUUUGUGUUAAUCUUAUUUUGCAAUUUAUAACCCCUUUUUGUUACUUUUAACCCAUUUUGCUAUUUUUUAACCACUUUUCACUAUUUUUACCACCCAUUUUCGCCCAUUUCCAGCCUCCUCAUGCUAUUUUUGCCACUUUUCUUCCACAACCACUUUUCACCCUUUAUUUCUGCUGGUUUUUGCCACUUUUUAACUGGUUUUUUACCUUUUGCCACC